AAUUAAAUACAGCGACAGCCGGAGACAGCAGGUGCUAUUUGCUUAAUAUCCUGCCGAGGUUUGCGUCUUAAAUGCUAAAAGUACAUCCUAAAAAGGCUUUAUGUACUGUGGUGUAAAGACGAUGAAGUAAAGACUUAUUGUUAAAAGUGUCUUUACUACAAAACCCCGGCUGCGAGAGCUGGGGUUUAUUGUUUUUGUA
rfam:Tolypothrix bouteillei VB521301 scaffold_1, whole genome shotgun sequence.